UACGGAGGGAGCUAGCGUUGCUCGGAAUCACUGGGCGUAAAGGGUGCGUAGGCGGGUCUUUAAGUCAGGGGUGAAAUCCUGGAGCUCAACUCCAGAACUGCCCUUGAUACUGAGGAUCUUGAGUUCGGGAGAGGUGAGUGGAACUGCGAGUGUAGAGGUGAAAUUCGUAGAUAUUCGCAAGAACACCAGUGGCGAAGGCGGCUCACUGGCCCGAUACUGACGCUGAGGCACGAAAGCGUGGGGAGCAAACAGG
rnacentral:rRNA from 1 species